UUUUAUUUACUAGAAGUCUCUCACCUCUCAUACUCAUGCACCUUAAUCAUACACACAGUGGAAAUCUAUAAAGACUUUAGAAUAAAAGGAGCACGUUUCAACACUGCCUUUAGAACACAAAGAUAUAUCUGUGAUUUUGAAAAUAAGAAAGUUUUAUUGUUUUCAUUUGACCCAGGUCUUGAGCAAGGGCUUCAGGGAGAGGCUCAGACAGAAGACCGGACACCACAGAGGAUGAUGCCAGAGGGCCCCUCAAAAACUUCUGGGCUCCCGAGGCUCCUAAUCACGCUUGAGGGUGAACCUUCCGGGGAGACCCUCCCCCAGCCCAGCCCGAAAAGUCUCACCUCCUCCUCUAGGAAGUGGUUCUCCAGGAAGUCACAGAGAUGGCUCUCUCCACGCGCACGCAGAUCCCGAAGGGCUUGGUUCAGGAUCUUCCCCAGAACCUUGGCGGCUUCCUUGGCCUCCAGGGUUUUACCCCCACUCCUCUCGCGACGGCUUCUGUACUUUCCCCGAAAAGGGCACGCAGCCGCCCCCUCCCCCACGCUGUUUUUGCAUUUUCAAGGGACGCUGGGUGAUCUCCCUUCUCCUCGCCAACGGGCAGAAGUGGCCCACGCCCUGCGGAGCCACAUCCUCCAGGCCAGAUAGAAGCCCAGAGAAAGGCAGACAAGUACAUCUGUGUGAGGGACUCCUGGGUUCAAAUAUUUUCUGCUCCUCUCACAUAUGGACUUUUGUCAAGAAUAGCUGCCCUGAACUUCUCCAGCAGAUGGAAGGCAUGCAGUGGACCUGAGGACGGAAUGUAAUGAUGCUCAUCGGUACAUAAUGAAGCACAUUUGAAGAGCUGACAUCCUGAGUUGUUAUGGAGGAGGUGUCCAAUAAGGUAAGUUCCAGAGAAGAAAACAAAACACAUGGCUUAUUCUUAAUUAUUUAUAAUAUAUAAAGCAUUUGUAUAUCUACACAUUACACAUUUUAUAUUUUUUAGUUUGUUUCUUAUUUUCAAUUAUAUGUUUGCCUGAUCCAAAAUAAGGU